rnacentral:piRNA from 1 species
UCUCCUGAUCCUGUUCAGACUCUGGGUGGC